ACUCCUGACUGACCGAUAGUGAACCAGUACCGUGAGGGAAAGGCGAAAAGAACCCCGGCGAGGGGAGUGAAAAAGAACCUGAAACCGUGUACGUACAAGCAGUGGGAGCCCCACCACUAAGCCAGUGGUGGUUAUCACAGCGUCAUCCUUACUUGAUGACGGUUGGCGGCGCCAGGCGACGCCCAACCGCAAACAUCAAGCGGAGGGGGCUUAGUGGUGGGGUGACUGCGUACCUUUUGUAUAAUGGGUCAGCGACUUAUAUUCUGUAGCAAGGUUAACCGCAUAGGGGAGCCGCAGGGAAACCGAGUCUUAACGGGGCGUUAAGUUGCA
rnacentral:rRNA from 1 species